GAUGAACGCUGGCGGCGUGCCUAAUACAUGCAAGUCGAGCGAACAGACGAGAAGCUUGCUCCUCUGACGUUAGCGGCUGACGGGUGAGUAACACGUAGAUCACCUACUUAUAAUACUGGGAUAACUUCGGGAAACCGGUGCUGCUACCGGCUAAUAUAUUGAACCGCAUGGUUCAAUAGUGAAAGACGGUUUUGCUGUCACUUAUAGAUGGUUCCGAGCCGCAUUAGCUAGUUGGUAAGGUAACGGCUUACCAAGGCGACGAUGCGUAGCCGACCUGAGAGGGUGAUCGGCCACACUGGAACUGAGACACGGUCCAGACUCCUACGGGAGGCAGCAGUAGGGAAUAUUCCGCAAUGGGCGAAAGCCUGACGGAGCCACGCCGCGUGAGUGAAGAAGGUCUUCGGAUCGUAAAACUCUGUUAUUAGGGAAGAACAAAUGUGUAAGUAACCAUGGACGUCUUGACGGUACCUAAUCAGAAAGCCACGGCUAACUACGUG
rnacentral:rRNA from 1 species